CGCAUCUGUGUAUAUAUGUACCGCUUUCAAGCUUAAACUAUAAGCAAAUCUUCAUCUGAUUUUAACACUGACAGCAGAAAAUGAAACAUCUUUUCUUAAUGUGUCUUCUGUUCUACAUGAACAUACACACAACUCAGAGAGUAAUAUUUAAUCGCAGUGUCACUGUGGGAAAGGACGCCUAUCUUGUGUGUAAACAUGAAGGGAGAGUGAUAUGGGGUAAAGCCAGAGAUGGAACAAGAAUAGACAUUUUCACUGCAGAAACAGAUGGAGAGAGACACAAACUAAUUCCAGAUCCUCAUAACCGUUAUAGUUUAUUGGAUGAUUUUUCGCUACACAUAAAGAGUGUUUCACUCUCAGACUCUGGAAUUUAUUACUGUAAUGGAACUCCAACUGUGAAUCUGAUAGUAACAGAACCAGGUAAGUGUUCACAUGCUUUACAUCAUACAAAUAUAAUGUAAGCUGUACAAAAUCACAACCACAAGUGCAAUAGUCUUUUAAUAAUAAAAAUAUUUUUUACAUGUUUCACCUCAUUUAAGCUUAACUCAAUGACAAAAGUUUAAAUAUAGUCACUUUUGUAUUUACCACUCAUCACAAUUUUAACAGUACACUUUUGGCUAGUGGUAUGUAGUUAAAGAAAUGUAGUAUAAGUUAGAUUUACAUUGACAGAUUAGGCUCUCUUAAUAGCAUCUGCUAACAAUUACCACAAAAUAAUUUUUGAGAAUGUUUAAAUAUACAGAUCUCACAAAUACUUUAUAUUUUGGGAAUAAUUUACAAGUCAUUUUCAUUUAGUUUCAUGCAAUUUGCUUAACAGGUCCUGCUCAAUUAUUAUUUUACUUAUUUAAUCCAUUAAGGUCUGUAACUUUGGUAACUUCUUCUAAACAGACUUUUUAAGAUAAUAGAUAAUAAAAAGACCUGGUCUGUCAAAAUGUCUUAAUAUAAUGGUUUUUUAAAUGUCUACAAUGAGCCAAACAACAUAAGAACUUUAACAUGAAAAAAAUUUAAUCCAGGACUACUUUUUAAUAUAUAGUUGAAGAAAUACCUUUAUUAUGAUUUAUUUUUUUCCCUUUUCAUACACUAUUAUUAUCAAACUACAGAUCCCAACAACAGUCAACCAGAAGGCACAACGCCAACACAACACCCAUCUGCUACGAAUACUUUAAGAUCUUUGGAUCAAACUAUAGAUUUUAGCCACAGUCAACCAGAAAGCACAACACCAACACAAGACUCAUCUGCUACGAAUACUUUAAGAUCUUUGGA